AAACCGGAGCUAAUACCGGAUAAUAUAUUGAACCGCAUGGUUCAAAAGUGAAAGACGGUCUUGCUGUCACUUAUAGAUGGAUCCGCGCUGCAUUAGCUGGUUGGUAAGGUAACGGCUUACCAAGGCAACGAUGCAUAGCCGACCUGAGAGGGUGAUCGGCCACACUGGAACUGAGACACGGUCCAG
rnacentral:rRNA from 1 species